rnacentral:rRNA from 1 species
AGAUACAAUGUUAAAACUAGUAACAUGAAGCAGCCCUUCUCCCUAAUGCAAGCAAAUACCAAAAUGGACUAACCAUUGGUUCUUAACGUCCAUGAGCUCAACCUAGCAACACUCCCUUCGAAAACCCUAUGCCCAAAUUACGUUAACCUUACACUAGAGCAUUCCUGGAAAGAUAAAAAGAAAAAGAAGGAACUCGGCAAACUAAAAUCCCGCCUGUUUACCAAAAACAUCGCCUCUUGACACAUACUCCCUCCUAUAAGAGGUCCAGCCUGCCCAGUGAAAUUUUAACGGCCGCGGUACUCUGACCGUGCGAAGGUAGCAUAAUCACUUGUUCUUUAAAUGAGGACUAGUAUCAACGGCAUCACGAGGAUUUUACUGUCUCCUUUUUCCUAUCGGUGAAACUGAUCUCCCCGUGAAGAAGCGGGGAUAAUAUUAUAAGACGAGAAGACCCCAUGGAGCUUUAAACCCAGUAACACCUCAAACACACCCCCUCCCAAAAAGUUUUAAUGUUCUGUUCACUGGUUUUAGGUUGGGGCGACCGCGGAGUACAACUUAACCUCCACAGCGCACGGAACUUAUUCCUUACCUGAGAGCUACACCUCAAAGAAUUAUCACAUUAACGUAAAAUGAUCCAAUAUUUUCCUUAUUGAUUAAUGAACCAAGUUACCCUGGGGAUAACAGCGCAAUCCAUUUCUAGAGCC